rnacentral:misc_RNA from 1 species
AACGCACAUUGCGCCCCUCGGUAUCCCGGGGGGCAUGCCUGUUCGAGCGUCAUUUCUACCACUCAAGUUUAACUUGGUAUUGGGCAUCGUUAUGAAAAUUAACGUGCUUUAAAUGUAGACGGCAACAAUUCCCUAGCUUGAAGCGUAGCAGUAAAACAUUUUCGCUUUAAAAGCUGCUGGGUCUUGUUUACCGCAUAGUUUUUACUACAGUUUGACCUCGGAUCAGGCAGGGAUACCCGCUGAACUUAA